AUAAUGUGAAAUACAACUUCUUCUCCAAGUUUCUCUCUCUCUUCUCUCUAACUGAUUUUCCCUCUCUUUCUCUCUCUAAACUCUGUCUCUCCUGAUCUGAUCUCUCUCUCUCAUUUCUCUCUCAAUUCUACAUCUCUCUGCCCUAAUUCACCUCUGUUUAGCUAUAAUCUCCUGUUGUAUUACUUGAUUUCGUGUGAUUUCAGUUCAUAAACACAGAAAACACCAAAAAUAGCUUUGUCAUACACUGAAGGCAUGACAAAUUGGUAUCAGAGCGAGGUUAAAAACGAUCAUCCUCUGCUUCAAUUGAGUUGCGCUGGUAUAAACUAGGUGUGCGGUUGUGGAAUCACAGUAAUCGCAGGUGUAGUUUGUUAGUUAUGAUCAAAACAGUCCAGGUACUCUGUUUUCUUAGCUGUUCUCAUCAGAUCUGUGAUUGUGUGGUUGUUUCUGUGAAUUUGAAGUGAAGUAUAGUUGAUUUUAGUUCGUUUAUAGUAAUUAGCAGUUUUUAGGGUUUUUAUUAUCAGAAAAUCACAAACGAAGUUGUUGUGGAGUGUUCUCUGUUAACUGAGGUGUGACUCGGUGCCUGUGUAGUGGCUGUGUAGUUGACUUAGUGAGGUGGAGUAAGAACGGUGUGAUUUUGUUAUUGUAGUAAGCUUACAUCAGAGAAUUUGUGUUUUGUGUCGAUUGAUAAUUGGAGAAAUUGUGACAAGAAGUAGGAAGUGUGUUGAAUUCACAGUGCCUAUCAAGUGUUUGAUAAAUUGACGGUGUGAACACCUGUUGAAAGCUUAGUAAAUUGAACAGUUGUGAGCAGUUUGUGGCUGAAUCUUGUGUUUGAUUGUGGAUUGGAGAAGUGACUUUUGUGGUGUAGGCAAAGUGUUUGAUAGUUUGUGUAAGAGAUUACGUGUGCUGAUAAUUGUAUGUCAAUGGAGAGUAGUGACAAAGCCUUUAAUAAUCUUCUACAAGAAGUUCAACAGCAGUUUUAUGGGUUUAGGGAAAAGUCGAGUCAGAGGAUUCAGAAUUUGGAGGAGGAAUUGGAGGAUUUAGUUGCUUUGGCUGCUCAAAAGAUGGAGUUAUUGAAGAAAAGUGAGGCUCAGAAGAGUAGAAGACCUAGAUUGGCAAAUCCUUUUGCAUCAAAACAAGAACCAUUGGAUUCACAUUUUAUUCGGUUUGAGGAAUAUACAGAGCAAUUUAAGGAAACCAUGUCACUGUUUAGGAUAACUCAGGAAGAAGAGAUGUCUUCUCCAGAAAAUUCAGAAUUAAGCCCAGAGGAAAAGUCUGAGAUAAUGUCUGCAAUCUUAGAAUAUCAGAUUGGUAAUUCAGUGCAUCAUCUUGAGUUAAGACCUAAAUCUGAAGGUGCUAGAGUCUCUGAGUCAUCACAUGAUUGGGAGCACCUUGUGGCUGUUGAACCUAUCUAUAAUGAUGACCCUAUCUAUGAGGAAGAUCCAAUGGAAGGCAAGAAGUGUUGGCCAGAGUAUGAACUCAUUUCAGGAGUCCUAGGAGGAGAUAACUUGCACUCAACUUGUUUGUCAGAGGCAGAUUUUUGCACAAGUGAAAAAUUAGAGGAUGUUGGACAUCUGAGAGACAAAUCAGAUGAGGUAUUUGAAGAUGGUGACAUGCCAAAGCUUGUUGAUUGCAGAGAUAAAGAGAAACAAGGUGUUGUUGUGGAGGAAUCUUCAAUCAUCCUUACCAGUAUGAGGGAAUUGAUUGAGGAUGUUCCAUGCAUAGAUAGUCCCGUAACUCCAAAUUACUCUGGUCUAGAAGAGAAGUCCAGCCAUCUUGAUACACAGAUUAUGACCAUCUUUGAUCCAGGGGGUCAUAUGCAAAAAGACCACUCAGCUGUUGAUAUGUUAUUCAAAAAAAUAAUCAUGGCUAAGGAAGUAUGGCUACCAGAAGUGACACUAAGUAACUCAGUUGGUGGCCAACUUGGAUAGUGGCAAUGUGGGGUUAGUUUGAAGAUCUUGGCAAUAAAUCAGCUAUUAAAGGAACACCCUGAGUUGAAGAAGAGAGAUUUUGUAGUUCAGUUUGAGAAUUCAGCUGGCAGACAAGGCCAAGACAUUCAAAAGGAUAAUGAUGAGAUUGACCGAGUCUUCACUGAGAUUAAUGAGGCUGGUGAACUGUAUUGUGGUUCUGUGAGGGCUGGGAUAAUGGGGACAACCUACAGGGACACUGAGCAGAUACAAGGUCCAGGAGAUAUGAAAUUUGAAGUCUCAAGGAAAAAUGUUAUAAUAUACAUAUAUGAUCCAGGAGGCUUUUUAAGUUGUUUCUAUGGAAUUCGAUAUGCUGAUGGUCCUGCAGGAAUUCUAAAUAUUCAACAAGUGGUGCAAGUUUUCAAUAAACAAGAGUUGUACCUGGAAGGAAAAGCAAGCAUAGCAGUGAAGGCCUUACCAGUGAUGUACUUAACCCAGGUGGAAAGAGGUUGUGAAGUGUAUGAUCCACCAUGAGGACAUGGUGAAAUUCAAGGAGGGUGGAAUGUUAGGAAUCAACUUAAGUAGCAGUCUAUAGACAUAUGAGCAGGGAUAGUAGUAGUAGCAAGGGUAAUUGUGUCUUUUCAUUACAAGUUAGUAGAGUCUAUAAAUAGAUCUACUCAGUUGUAUUUUCUAUUAUGCAUAAUAUGAAAUACAACUUCUUCUCCAAGUUUCUCUCUCUCUUCUCUCUAACUGAUUUUCCCUCUCUUUCUCUCUCUAAACUCUGUCUCUCUCUCCUGAUCUGAUCUCUCUCUCUCAUUUCUCUCUCAAUUCUACAUCUCUCUGCCCUAAUUCACCUCUGUUUAGCUAUAAUCUCCUGUUCUAUUACUUGAUUUCCUGUUAUUUCAGUUCAUAAACACAGAAAACACCAAAAAUAGCUUUGUCAUACACUGAAGGCAUGACAAUAUCCUAAUAAGCACAGGAGAACAUGUGACAUUAUUUUUUUAAGAAUUGAACUGCACAGCGCAGACCAAACAAGCAUGAGGCUGGUCUGGUUUGCUUUGUUAUUUUUUUUAAGAGUGUUAACAGUCAUUUUUAAUCGAAGUGAAUCAAGAACAUUCCUAUUAAGGUGUCCAAUACUGUCAAAUAGCAGAGCAUCAAAAAACGCAGGUAUUUAAUUUUAAUCUAUACAUUGUUUUGUCUCCAAUGUCUAAGUAUUCUAUGGGUUAGUUUCUUGAAUCACUGGACUGUUAAAUAUACUUUACUAUAUAUUAGCGUCCUUAUUCAUGUAAUUUUUUUUUAAUAGAUAUUAUUUAAAAACAAAGGCAUUUAUGAUUAAAUUUUUAUGUUAUUAACGAUAUCAUAAUGUUCAUGAAUCAUUAGAAAUUAC
rnacentral:lncRNA from 1 species